rnacentral:rRNA from 1 species
UGUAAGAAGGGGAAUAACCCGGAGAAAUCCGGACUAAUACCGCAUAAUACGUUAGAAUCCGCAUGGAUUUAGUUAACAUUUAUGGCUUACAGAUGGGCAUGCGUAUGGAUUAGCUGGUUGGAGAGGUAACGGCUCCCCAAGGCAACGAUCAUUAGGGGUUCUGAGAGGAAGGUCCCCCACACUGGUACUGAGACACGGACCAGACUCCUACGGGAGGCAGCAGGUGAGGAAUAUUGGUCAAUGGACGCAAGUCUGAACCAGCCCAAGUCGCGUGAAGGAAGAAUGUCCUAUGGAUUGUAAACUUCUUUUGAAGGGGAAUAAAGUACGGUACGUGUACCGUUUUGUAUGUACCCUUCGAAUAAGGAUCGGCUAACUCCGUGCCAGCCGCGGC